rnacentral:lncRNA from 1 species
AUGGGUCUCCCACUGAUAGGGCAGAAGCCCAGCCUCACACACAUGCCCAGCCUCCCCUCUUGGGAUCUCAAACCUUCUGUUUUUAGGAAGGCCUUCCCGGUGUCUACCCUGAAGCCCACCUGUUGUAACUUGGGCUCAGGUUUGUUUGUGUCUUUGUUCAGUGGUAAGAAAUUUGAUGCCCGGUGCAGUCGCCUCUCAGGACCCCAUCUGAUGAUGCUUUCUGCUGUGGCUUGGGAGAACAAGAUGUCUCUGGAGGAAGAGUGUGCCUUCCAACCUGGAAAGGCACACAGUCAGACCCAGAUAGGACAUUCUUCUCGAAGACUCCAAAGACCUCACUGGACCUUGCUCCAUACUCAGUUUUGCUGUGGCAGAGGGAAGGGCAGGUGCGCAGGGCUGGAUGUGGGUUGCGGGGAGCUUGGGGGGUGUCAGGGUCUGGUAGAGGGACCCAGUUGUCUGCCACCUUGUCACAAUCUCCGAGGAGCUCAAGCAAGAGACCUAGAGGGUAGACCUUGGGAGGCCUGAAUUGCUGGGGUCCAGUUUUAAUCAGGGAUGGGAAAGCAGACUGAGGGUGUGACUUUUCUUUCACUCAGUUCCAGCCGAAGGCCUCCCCUCACCCAAGAUGCUAGGGAAGGGGUCUGGGGGGCCAGGGAAACCCAGAAGCCAUGGUGGGAAUGCCUGAUUUCUGAUGUGGGAAUCCUGAUGUGGGAUUCCUAGGGCUUCUGUGGAAGUUUCCACUGAACAAGAGGUGACGGGACUGCUGGGUUCCCAGGACCAUGGGAGCCAUAUACUGUAUGUAGUAGAGACAUCCACUGAUGUCUCUGGUUGGGCAGAUCUGGUUGGGUCUGAGCGGGGAAGAGGGUUGGAGGGUUGGGAGGGAAGACACCCAGGCUCGUUCCCCUAGCGCACGAGAGGAGAGUAACACCCAGGAGCUGACUUAGCACUAGCUGGAAGAGGUUGUUCAGAGCAGGGAGAAACAGAGGGAAGAGAAACCAAGGGCUUCCCAUCGGGAAGGCCUCAUGGAAUGGGGAGAGUGGGCACAGGACUGGAAAGGAAGGGAGGGGUGGAGUGGUGGGCUCUCACAGGAGGCGAGGGAGGGGGGCGGGUGUGCCCCCCUUGAAGGUCGGGAGGCGGGUGUCCUGGCCAGGCGGGGUUCCACCUGCAGAGUGGCUGGAGGUUGGAAUCUCUGUGUGUCAGAAGUUGCCGGAAACACAAGUGUAAACGUGGAGUUGGGAGGUUUGGCGACUCCAGGCCCUCCAUCUUGAGCAAUUCACACCCACUUCUAGUGUCUUCUUCCUCUAAGCGUGGAGGGUAAGAACAUCAAGCAUUCUUGAGUGUUACAAAAGCUUCUCUGGUGGGUGAGAAGACCACUGGGCAGGGCGGGGUGGGGGGGGUAGGCUGUUUGGGCCUCGAUUUAGUGGAUUUCAGCAGGUGUCAGGCCUCCGUUGUAUGUGAGAGGGCAAACUCGGGUGGGGGCCGGACAGCACUCCGGCCCAGUUCUGCCCCUAGCUGGCCCCUCCUACAG